GUUUAUGGCCAUACCACCCUGAACGCACCCAAUCUCCUAUGAACUUGGAAGCUAUGCAGGGUUUGGCCUGCCUGGUUAGUACUUGGAUGGGAAAACUUUGAAGACAUACUUC
rnacentral:rRNA from 1 species